CUAACUUUGAUAUUUAAAAUGAUAUACACAUUGUUCAAUUCUGUUAAAUUAUUUGCUACUGUGUUCAUUUUGUAGUCAGAAACCUACCUCAAGAGAUGAAUGUCGUUACCUUGGCAUAUAGAAUCUUACCUCGCAAAUGCUACCAUCAGUUUAAAAUGUUGAUUUACUGCCGCAAAGUUUCAAUGAAAACAUCAUUGCGAGCUGUUGCUAUAGUGUAUUUUGUUUAAUGAAUAAGAGAAGAUGAUUAUAUUUU